CAGUCGCCGCGGUAAUACGAAGGGGGCUAGCGUUGCUCGGAAUUACUGGGCGUAAAGGGAGCGUAGGCGGACUGUUUAGUCAGAGGUGAAAGCCCAGGGCUCAACCUUGGAAUUGCCUUUGAUACUGGCAGUCUUGAGUACGGAAGAGGUAUGUGGAACUCCGAGUGUAGAGGUGAAACUCGUAGAUAUUCGGAAGAACACCAGUGGCGAAGGCGACAUACUGGUCCGUUACUGACGCUGAGGCUCGAAAGCGUGGGGAGCAAACAGGAUUAGAUACCCCGGUAGUCCCUGUCUCUUAUAC
rnacentral:rRNA from 1 species